AAAAAGGACACAGAGCUGGAACAUGGAAUAUUUAGAGCACCUAUAGAACUAGGACCCUGCCAUGUGCUUUUGAAGCACUGCAUACAUAACAGCCUCAUAAGAUACCUGAGAUGUGGAUUUUUAAGUUAGUGAAUUCAUACUGUUUUAUAGGAGAGAAAGGACUGUGAGGCAUGAAAUAGGACUAAAAUUCAUGAUAAAUGAUACUCUAUGUCAUAGUUUGAGCCACUUCCCCCUGGGCUGGGAGCUAGAGGUGGUUGGUCCCAGGAGAGUUUCCCCUGAGUGACCAAUCCCAGCUGUUCUUUUUCGCUCCUGUGAAAUUAGAUAUUCACAACAGCUGGAAGUUGUUGGGAGAGUGUGAGUGAGAGUUUGUGUGAGAGAAAGAGGCCGAGGGGUAGACGGGGCCCCCCGAACCCAGGGGGGUCCCUGUACCCCCACGGCCCUGGCUCAGCCAGGGCUGGAGGCAGCAUGUAGGAGUGUGUGUGUGUGUUGUGAGGGAGAGACUCACAACCAUGAGGUGAGAGGGGGGAGGUCUCCAGUCCCUUACAGGGGGGCUGGGCCCUCUUCCUCCCUCUAGCUAGACUGCAGGGCUUGGGACAAUUUAUAACUGGUCUGAGUACCCUGUGGCCAAAGUGAGGGGGCUCAUUUUGUUCCCCCACUGCCCAGGGAGGCGGUGGUGUGGACUCAAGGCAGGCGAGGCAUUGGAGCCAAGUCAAGAGACAGGUCAGGAGGCUUGGUUGCCUUGAGAAACAGUUGCUAUUUGUUGCAAAAGCUGGAAGAACUCCAGGCAGAAAUGGGAGACGGGCCACAGGGCUCAGAGAUGCUGACGUUGGGUUUGGACGUGGACUACCUAAACUGAAAGCUGCAGCUGCUAAGGAAGAGGAAGAGAGCCAAACGAGCAGGAUUUUCUGGCUCAGGAUGACACCUCAGCAUGGAACCGAGGGCUGGUGGGGGUGCACGAGAACCCCUUUUUCCUCAUACCCCAAUGAGAGAGAGACUUUUUCACUAUCGCCCUGAAGACUUCUCGUGAACUGAUGUGGGAGGGUUCAAGGGGUGGUAGGACUUGUGUUAAUAUUGUAUAUAAUUGCUUUUUAGUUUGUAUAGUAUUUAUUGGGUAGUAAUAAAUUGUACAUAAUUCCCUUCUCCCAUA